rfam:Human gut metagenome DNA, contig sequence: In-A_011740.
CUGUUUCGUCAGCAGUCUCCUACGGUAGGUGUAUAACCAAUAAGGUUCUUGUACUAAGUGGCUCGGACAAUGAGGCCCUUCCGAAAGGAGAAGUUUGAACCGUGAGGGGAAAGCAACUGCUAUGAGUGUCAUAUAGUUAGGGGA